UGUUGUACAUGUUAGAUGUAUCCCGGAAAGUUUCUUAUGCGUCGCCGUUAUCGUAAUCAACCGUCACAAACUUUCUACAUGACUUUCGUGAUUGUCACGUACAGUGACAGCAAUACUCUUGACGUCGUGUCGAGAUAGGAUUAUCAACUGAACAGUGUUAUCAGCGUGAGAAAAAAAAUGUCUGCAUCAGUGUACGAGGAAGUUCCUGAUAAUAAAAUAUAUUGCUAUAGGUAUGAACGUCAUUAGAAAAUUAGACAGAUACCACGGAGACUUCCGACAAGAGAAAUUAAUAGUUGUUCAAAAGUGAUUUCUACGCUAGUAGAGAUACAGUACAUGCCGGUUUUCCGCCCCAACAGCGAAUACCCACUUUCCGCUAUCUAUUUUUGCAUUCAGUACAAAUAAACUGAGCAUCCUUAACACAAGCCGGUCGUGCUGUAAAAUCGAAACCUCAUCAGUCUGGAAUUCACGACGUUCGAUUACCUUGAAUCGGCCACCCAAUAUAGCAAAGAUUCAUUAUAGUCAUUGACUAUUAAAUUUUUGUUGAUAACCCGUGUCUUUCAUAAAGAAUCAAAGAUACGAUAGCACGAUAACAGGUAAAUAUAAUCCAGCAUAAAGAUUUUAUAUGAUCGUAGCAUCGAAAUUUUCAAAUUUCCCGCCCACAUUCAUCCACCGAGUCAUUGACUUUAUUGCGUCGUAAAUAUCGCGUGGGCCGUCAAUUGUCUUGAAAAUUUACGACCUCGUGUAAUUCACCGAAAAUGGAGCGACCAACCAGAACUAAUUAAUUAAUUCAUCUGUGACCUGGCAUGGCCUAUGCUUCCACAUACAAAAUUAAUGACCAAACAAGAACCACAAGACUAAAGGAGAGUAAUAAAAAAAAGAGGGAAGGAAACUUAUAAAUUGGAGGGAAGUGUAACUAUGAUUACUCAAGGUUUAUCCUGAUUGAUAAAAGUUAAACGCAUUUUUCAGCAAAAACUAUUCUCUGCACGGGUACUGGGGAUGCUAAUCGAUUGGAUGAUAAUUACAAAGAGAUCUUGGAGGUUCAUAUAAUUAUGAAAAAUAUUCUUGGCCUUAGACCUAUAAUGUCUUAUAACGAGUCAUGCCAGCCAUUAUUUCGGCGCGAAGAAAAAUUAUGACAAAAAUCGAAUCAACACUCUGACAUGGAUAUGGGAGAGCAGCCUGCAGCUGUAGCCAGAACAAUGAAUAUAAAUUGUGCAAACAGUUUCGAAAUUGUGAAAAUUACAUAAACACGACAAUGCACAGAGGUUGGUACAUAAAUACAAUUAUUCUCGCUCAGUUGCAUUCAGGUAAACAGAGACAGAUGAUACAGUGAAUUUCAAAAACGUACCCUAAGUUCAUCCUAGGCUUCUGUCCCCACCACUUGACAAAGAGCCAAUCGCAAAGCUGCUCUUGUCAGUAUUCGAAAUACUUCAAAAUAUUUACCUCUGUGAGUCAUCAUAUUCGUUUGCUCCUAAUACAUUUUGCGUAUCUAUUAAUUAUUUAAAAAGUAAUAUAAAGUUUCAUUAAAAAAUGUAUAAACUUCUCUCAUCCUACAAGGUGCCACAGGGAGACAUACUGUAUAAUAUUAAGCAAGACAUUUAAAAUUUUAAUGAAUUCCACCAUCAUAGGAUGCUCUUAUCACUAACUUCUUAAUUGAGUGCUAACAGAUCAAAUCUUAAAUUUACACAUCCUUUGAAUAUUCUAUUCUACAGAAUCUAAGUUGGGUGCGUCGUAAUCCUGGGUGAAUAAAUAUAUAUUUCAAAGGGAAAGAUCUAACACAUCACAUGUGCCUUAAGCCUGUAUCGUUAUUAAAAAUAUUAUAUUUUUCUUAAUAUAAUAGAACGACUCGACGUAUAUUUUAUCACCAGGAAGAAAGUCGAUAUCGUUAUCAUUAUAUCAACGAAGAACCACACAAAAGAAGACUUUGAAUUUGAGUUUCUUUUUCAUAGUUAAAAAUAUUUUACGCAACUCGUAUCUAAUAAUAGAGCAAUUCAAAGUGAUUAAUAGCUUAAGUUAUAACGGUUGAGAUAAAAAUAAAUUAACCGCACAAUAAUUAUACAUAGUAAAAUCUAACAUCGUUUACAGCGUUCCUUAGAAAAUCGGAACGUAGUUCUUGAAUCCUUCACGGCCGCAUCCCCAUUCACCCGAUCCUUAACUCAGGUCAAGGGGUUCCUCCGCUGCCAUUUUGAGCUACUCAAUGUUCUCGUUCAGCACAAACUGAAGAUACGUGCUUGUUAAGCUGAUAAACUGCAAUGUGAUAGAUUACAUAAAAAAGAAAAAAUGGAAUAAAAAGAACAAUGAUGUAGAUUGAGUGUAACCAAGCCAAAUCCGGCUUUAACUUUGAGUUUCCUCAAUCCAAAGUACAUACAAACGUCCGAGUUGUCCUGUAAGACAAAAUGUGAUAUUUUCAUAUUUAAACG